rnacentral:rRNA from 1 species
CGGGUGAGUGGCAGACGGGUGAGUAACGCGUGGGAACCUUCCCUGUGGUACGGAAUAGCUCCGGGAAACUGGAAUUAAUGCCGUAUACGCCCUUCGGGGGAAAGAUUUAUCGCCAUAGGAUGGGCCCGCGUCGGAUUAGCUUGUUGGUAGGGUAAUGGCCUACCAAGGCAACGAUCCGUAGCUGGUCUUAGAGGAUGAUCAGCCACACUGGGAUUGAGACACGGCCCAGACUCCUACGGGAGGCAGCAGUGGGGAAUAUUGGACAAUGGGCGAAAGCCUGAUCCAGCCAUGCCGCGUGAGUGACGAAGGCCUUAGGGUUGUAAAACUCUUUUGGCGGGGACGAUAAUGACGGUACCCGCAGAAUAAGCCCCGGCUAACUUCGUG